rnacentral:ncRNA from 2 species
AUUCAUCUUCGGGGCCGGGUGCAAUUCCCGACCGGCGGUGAUGGGGCGCAGCCCCUAAGCCCGCGAGCCGCAAGGCAGGAUUUGGUGAGAUUCCAAAGCCGACAGUACAGUCUGGAUGGGAGAAGGUGAAG